rnacentral:hammerhead_ribozyme from 1 species
AGCGACUGACGAGUCCGAAAUAGGACGAAACGCUCGUCCUGGAU